rnacentral:tRNA from 1 species
GCAGUCGUGGCCGAGUGGUUAAGGCGAUGGACUAUAAAUCCAUUGGGGUCUCCCCGCACAGGUUCGAAUCCUGUUGAUUACG